rfam:Triticum aestivum genome assembly, contig: Triticum_aestivum_CS42_TGACv1_scaffold_513210_6BS
CAUUUACUCCCUCCGUUUCGAAUUACUUGUCUUGGAUUUGUCUAGAUACAGAUGUAUCUAGACUCAUAGUGCUAAAUACAUCCGUAUCUAGAAAAAUCUAAGACAAGUAAUUCGGAAUGGAGGGAGUAUCAA